UACGUAGGGGGCAAGCGUUGUCCGGAAUUAUUGGGCGUAAAGAGCUCGUAGGCGGUCUGUUGCGUCGGCUGUGAAAACCCGGGGCUCAACUCCGGGCCUGCAGCCGAUACGGGCAGACUAGAGUUCGGCAGGGGAGACUGGAAUUCCUGGUGUAGCGGUGAAAUGCGCAGAUAUCAGGAGGAACACCGGUGGCGAAGGCGGGUCUCUGGGCAGUAACUGACGCUGAGGAGCGAAAGCGUGGGGAGCGAACAGG
rnacentral:rRNA from 1 species